UACGUAGGGUGCAAGCGUUAAUCGGAAUUACUGGGCGUAAAGCGUACGUAGGCGGCGCGUUAAGUGAUAUGCGAAAUCCAGCGGCUCAACCGUUUGGACUGUAUAUCAUACUGACGUGCUAGAGGAUGGCAGAGGCAAGUGGAAUUGGUAGUGUAGCAGUGAAAUGCGUAGAUAUUACCAGGAACACCAAUGGCGAAGGCA
rnacentral:rRNA from 1 species